rnacentral:rRNA from 1 species
UACGAAGGGGGCUAGCGUUGUUCGGAAUUACUGGGCGUAAAGGGCGCGCAGGCGGCUUGGAUAGUUGGGCGUGAAAGGCCCGGGCUUAACCCGGGAACUGCGCUCAAUACUACCAGGCUUGAGUGUGGGAGAGGAUGGUGGAAUUCCUAGUGUAGAGGUGAAAUUCGUAGAUAUUAGGAAGAACACCGGCGGCGAAGGCGGCCAUCUGGACCACAACUGACGCUGAGGCGCGAAAGCGUGGGGAGCAAAC